rnacentral:rRNA from 1 species
AUUGAACGCUGGCGGCAUGCCUUACACAUGCAAGUCGAACGGCAGCGGGGGAGAAGCUUGCUUUUCCUGCCGGCGAGUGGCGAACGGGUGAGUAAUACAUCGGAACGUGCCCUGUAGUGGGGGAUAACUAGUCGAAAGAUUAGCUAAUACCGCAUACGACCUGAGGGUGAAAGGGGGGGACCGCAAGGCCUCAUGCUAUAGGAGCGGCCGAUGUCUGAUUAGCUAGUUGGUGGGGUAAAGGCCUACCAAGGCGACGAUCAGUAGCUGGUCUGGGAGGACGAUCAGCCACACUGGGACUGAGACACGGCCCAGACUCCUACGGGAGGCAGCAGUGGGGAAUUUUGGACAAUGGGCGAAAGCCUGAUCCAGCAAUGCCGCGUGUGUGAAGAAGGCCUUUGGGUUGUAAAGCACUUUUGUCCGGAAAGAAAUGGCUCUGGUUAAUACCUGGGGUCGAUGACGGUACCGGAAGAAUAAGGACCGGCUAACUACGUGCCAGCCGCCGCCGUAAUAC